AAAGGACUCAAAAUGGGACCCCAUGAAGGACUCAAAAUGGGAUCCCAUAAAGGACUCAAAAUGGGACCCCAUAAAGGACUCAAAAUGGGAUCCCAUGAAGGUCUCAAAAUGGGACCCCAUAAAGGACUCAAAAUGGGACCCCAUAAAGGUCUCAAAAUGGGAUCCCAUGAAGGACUCAAAAUGGGAUCCCAUGAAGGUCUCAAAAUGGGACCCCAUAAAGGACUCAAAAUGGGACCCCAUGAAGGACUCAAAAUGGGAUCCCAUAAAGGACUCAAAAUGGGAUCCCAUAAAGGUCUCCAAAUGGGAUCGUUUGCGGAGUUCUGCCCUGAGGACGUUGGGGCUGCGGUGGUGGCAGGGAAGGGUGAAGGGGAGAGUCUGCAGAGCACAGGGUGCA